UUCCCUAAGUCAGCAAAUUGUCAGUUCACAACCCCCAGAUUCACACUGAAGCGCUCUCCCCAGAGCAAAGGUGUUGGGAGAUGGGCUUCUGGGAGACAGCCGGGUAGGAUGAGUUUGCACAGGGCAGGUGUUUAUGGUGGAUGUGGUGUUCAGUGAGAAGAGACAGGGGACAGCAGAUGGGGCCUUUCUGGCCUUCUCUGCCUGCCACAGGAGGGUACAGUUAGGUGACGCGCUCCUGCAAGCCAGGAAGAACAUCAGCUCCAGGGACGAACCUCAGACACCGCCCCUGGAGCUGGAGGACACACGUGGUGUCUCGUCCUGCAGCCUGUGCUGGCGAGUACACCUGACCACACACAGCUCAGCCACAGAGAUCGAAUCCAUGCGUAACACACAGGAGCUAACGCCAGGAGGAGGCUGCAUGCUGCGUCCUAGGGAAGUCAACUGCCUCGGGUAUGGGUUGCUUGCAAAAGGGAAGAUGAGAAAGGAGACCCGUUGUUACUGUCGCAUGCUUCCUGCUGCAGAAUAUUAAUAGGAAGCGGGAGGAGUGGGGGAGCGCACGCCGAAAGGAGGUUAUUAAUAAGAACAAUGCGCCACAGCUGCGUGGCACUUUCCAUUUGAGAAGAGGUUUACAAAACCAAACCUGCAGGAAACAAAUAUUCAUGGCUGCCACCUGCACUUCAGAGAUGAAGGCGAAAUCAGCCACACAGAAACCGUGGAGAGAAAGAGGAGACUUCGCAAGGUCACCGUCAAGGUGAGGACCUGGAGGAGCCACAGAAGAGAGGAGGUGAGCAGGUUGGGUCAGGCCUGCACACUGGAGAUGACAGGAACCAUCAAGAUAAACACUGAAGACCUCCCACCCGAAGAGCCCGCCUCUCUCCCCUGCCCGGUGCCUGUCAGGUGUGACUCUGCUCUUCGCUGGGUCUUGUCUUUCUGAGACGUAGCAGCACAAUCUACUGAAAGGACAGUCUUCCCCACCACGCCUCCUCUUCACGUCAGACAGGAGUUGGGGGUCUCCCUGUGCAGGACUGUGAGCGCGAGGGGAUGCCUGGUGACCCCACCCUGGCUGCCUGCCAAGUCUGAAAUUAACAGGGUGAUGCCCCCAGCUUUCCUCUUCUUCUCCUUUUAAAGAUCCGUCGGUUCCGUCUCCUGUGACUUUCCACAUAACUUUAAGAGCAGACUCUUUAUCUCAGUGAAACAUUCAUCUUGGGUUUCUGCUGAAGUCACUGAAUCCAUGGGCCAGUGUCGGAAGGACCAGCAGCUGCGCUCCACCUCAGGGACCCAGUGUGUCUCUCCCUCGUCUGGCUACUGAUUUCUCCUGGCAGCGGUUGCAGACUUCGGCACACCAGCCCUAUGCACAUUUUGCUUUACUAAUUUAUAAAGUAUUUCCUUGUUAGAAGAGCAAUCUCUUUCCCAUUCACUUCUUAUUUUCUGAGUCUGUGUCUGCAGAACAUGGUCACAUCCUUAGGGGUUGGUGCGUGGCUGUGGUUCAUCUCAAUUCUGUUUCACCCCUUCCUCUCCCCUCCUCCCCUCUCCCUCCAUCUCUUGGUUCCCUUCCUUUUGCAGAAGAUCCCUAUUUCAUAUUGUUUAUCUUUAUUACCUGCUGUUUAUUUAAACUUUACUUUUCCUGUAUAAGAGAAAUAACAUGAUAUUUAAGCAUGGGCAUGAUUUAUCCCUGCCCAUGGUAGUCUGAAGAUGCAUCCCCCAAAUAAUUCAAGUUGAUCUCUUUUAUGGCAGAGUAGUACUCCACUGUGUAUAAAUACUGAAUUUUCUUUGUUCAUUCAUCUGUUACUAGAUGUAAGUUACUUCCAAGAUUUAGCCACUGUGAGCUGCUAUUAAUAUGGGUAUGCCUGUAUCACUCUCAUGCAAUAUCUUUAACUUUUUGGGGAAGGUAUCUAGAAGGGAAAUAGCUAGGUCAACUGGAAUUUCAUAUUUUAGUUUUCUGAAGAAUCUAUGUACUGAUUUGUAUAAGUAGUUGUAGUAGUUUACAUUUCCACCAUGAUGUAUGUUUUCCAUGACGCCUCGACAGCAGUUAGGUUGAGUCGUGAUAAGGACCAUUCUUUCUAGAGUGAGAUGGAAUCCCAGUGCUGUUUUAAUUUGCAUUUUUCUGACGUAUGAACAUUUUUUCCUGUACGUAUUGUUGGCCACUGCACUACUUCUGGGAAGUGCCUGUUCUUUUCAGUUGCCCGGUUGUUUUGAUUGGGUUGUCAUUUGGGGGUCUACUUUUUUGCAUUCUUUAUAAAGUGUAAAUAUUAACCCUAUGUCUGAGGAAUAUUAGGCAAAAGUAUUGCCCCAUUGUCAAAGUCGUCUCUUUGCUCUGUGGCUUCCUUUGCUGUGCAGAAGCUUUUUAACUUGAUCCAAUCCCAUGUGUUGAUUUCUUGUGCAAUUCAGGUUCUGUUCUGAAAGUUCUUAUCUAUAUCUGUCUCUUCAGGAGUUUUACCUAUUUUAUCCAGCACAUUGUUUGUGUUUUAACUUUUCUUUAGUAAACAACUUAGGAUUUGUUUGGAAAGUAGGCAAUGAAAAGCAUGGUCGUAACUCUUAUUUAAAAUAGUAAUAAAAUUAGAAAAAAUCAGCUAUAGAAGAGGCAGGUGUUAAAACUGGCUUUGUGGCUGUAUAACACAAACAAACACAAGCAAAUAAGCACUAAAGAAAAUAGUAUGGGAAUGUGUAUGGGACAGACCAUGACUAAUAUGUUAAAAAAUUUUCAUAAGAAAUUAUACAGAAUAAAAAAAUAAAUUAAGUAAUGUUUGAACAUUUAGAACUUUAAUCCACUUUGAUUUUAGCUUAGUACAUGGUGAGAGAUAUGGGCCUCAGUCAGUCUUCUGCACGUGAUGGCCAGGUUUUCCAGCACCAUUUAUGACAGAGGCCAUCUGUCCUCCAAAUAUUCUGUCCCCUUUGUUAUAGGUCAGAGAGCUGAAUCUCUUGGUUCAGUUUUGGUAAUUUACAUGCACCUAGGUAUCUGUCUAUUUCUUCUGAAUUUUCUGAUUGAUUGGAGUCCAGGUUUUUUUUUAAGUAGUUGCUAAUAAUCUAGAUUUCAGCAGUGUCUGUUUUGAUUUCACCUUUUUCAUCUCUAAUUGCAUUGAUUUGUAUCUUUUCUUUCCUUUUUUUAAUAAGGUUAACUAAGGAUUUGCCUCUUUUGUUCAUUCUUUCAAAGAACCAAUUCUUUAAUUCAUUGAUUUUUUUGGUAUUAUUUUUACUCUCAAUUUCAUUAGUGUCUGUUCUGAUCUUUAUAUAUUUCUUCCUUGUACUAUCUUUGGAUUCAGACUGUUCUUGUUUUUCUAGAAACUUAAGGUGUACCACCAGAUUAUUUUUUUGGACACCUUCUGUUUUCUGAUGUGGCAAUUCACAGCUAUAAAUUUCCCUCUUAGAACUGCUUUCUUUGUCUACAGCCAUGCCACCCUGAACGCGCCCGAUCUCGUCUGAUCUCGGAAGCUAAGCAGGGUCAGGCCUGGUUAGUACUUGGAUGGCAGAACUGCUUUCUUUGUGGCUCAGAAGUUCUGGUAUGUACAGAUACUGGAUUAUCACUGAGUUUAGGAACUGUUUAACUUUUUUUUUUAUUUCUUCCAUGACCCACUGAUGACUUAAUAGUGUAUUGUUUAAUUUUUAAGAUUUGAAUAAUUUUUGUGGUUUCUUCUGCUAUUAAUUUCUAGUUUCAUUGUGCUAUGAUCUGACAAUUUACAGGGGAUAAUUUUGACUUUUUGUACCUCCUGAAGCCUGCUUUGUUGGCCAGUGGUGGUCUAUUUUGGAGAGAGUCCAUGUGCUGCUAAGAGUGUGUACUCCAUUGUUGUUGGGUGGAACUCUCUGUAUAAACUAUUAAGUCCAUUUAUUUGAAGGUUUUGUUUAAUUCUAAUAUUUCUUUGUUGAUUUUUUGUCUCAUUGAUUGUCUAUUUGUGACAGUGGGGUAUAUGAGAUCCUGCACUAUAACUGUGUAUUUUUCUGAUCUUUUGUGUCCAACAGUAUUGUUUGGUGUAUAUAUGUUAAUAAUUGUUAUUGAUUCCUGUUGAAUUGAUCCCUUAACUAGUAUGUACUGACUUUCUUUGCCUCUUCUGAUCAGUUUUGAUUUGAAGUCCAUACUUCUUUUGAAAGUAGGAGAGCUACUUCUGCUUGUUUUGGGGUUCCCAUUGCAUGAAAUGUUGUUCUCCAUCCUUUGGCAUUUAAACUAUGAAUUUCUUUUUGAGUUGAAUGUGUUCCAUGGAUGCAGCAUAUUUCAUUUCCUGACCCAUUCUGCUGGUAUGAGUCUUUUGCUUGGGAAAGAGUCCAUUUCUAUUGAGAGGUGUUGGUGGAAUGUACUAAUUUCUUCUCUCACUGCGUUAUUCUCCAUUGCUGAUUCCCUUUUUCUCUUCUGCUUCACUACUCAGCCUGUUUGGUGUGGUCACUCCAUUAGACCUUUCAUCAUUAUUGGCUCCAUUGUCUCCUUCCAGGAUACCCUUAAGAAUUUCUUGGAGUGUGGUUUGGUGGUCAUGAAUUUCUUUUGGUGCUCUUUGUCAUGAGCAUAUCUUAUUUUUCCAUCAACUUUCAAAGUUAAUUUUUCAGGAUCUAUCCGUUUGGGUUGGAAAUUGUUUUCUUUUAAAGCUCCAAGCUUCCUGGUCUUUAAGGUUUGUGUUGCGAAGUUAGCUACAGUUCUAAUGAACUUACAUUUGAAGUGAGUCGCUGCUUCUCUCUAGCAGCUUCUAAGACUCAGUCAUUCAGAGAUUUUGUUUAUAACGUGCCAUGGAGAGAUUCUUUUCUGAUCAUGGUUAUUUGGGGUUCUAUAGGCUUCACUUAUCUGUAUAUUAAAUUCUUUACCCGUAUUUGGAAAGUUUUCCACUAUUUCUGUAAAUGAGGUUUUUUUAUGCCAUUUUGUGCUGCCAUCUGAUUUGCACUAAUUCUUGUUAAUCUCAGCUUAUGAGUUGUGGGAUCCAUUUGUCUGUAAGGUAUUGCUAAAUCACCACCAGCAUCAGCUCUAUCAUUUAAUUCUGACACUCUGUCCUCACAUUUGUUGGUUCUGAUGUCCAUAUUUUAAAUUUUCAAUCUCCUAAAUUUCUGUUUGGUGCCUUUUUAAUGUACUCUAAUGCUUUGUUAAACUUCAUGCUUUGAAUCAUUUUAUUUAGCUCAGUUUUUUUUAUUAGUGUGUGCUAUAUGCUGCUUGCUGUGUUUAUUAAGUCCAUUAUCUAUAUGGUUGUAUCUUGUGUGAGCUUGCCAAACAUCUUAUUAAUCUUUUUUAAAUCUCCUCUGUUAUCCUUUCAAACAGUUUGGCUGUGUGGUUUUGGAUUCCCUCCCCUUCAGUGCUUCAUGGGUCAGCAUUGGAGUUUUGGGGGGUUUGGGGAGGCAUUGUUGCCUUGUCUUCUCCUGUUCCUAUUGUGUCGUUGUGCAGAGGUUUUCAGGGUGAAUGUAAUAAAGAUUGUUGCUCACAUGGA